rnacentral:rRNA from 1 species
UACAUGGGGUGCAAACGUUGCUCGGAAUUAUUGGGCGUAAAGCGCACGUAGGCGGUUUGUUAAGUCGGAUGUGAAAUCCCUCGGCUCAACUGAGGAAGUGCAUUCGAAACUGGCAGGCUUGAGUACUAAAGAGGGUCGCGGAAUUCCCGGUGUAGAGGUGAAAUUCGUAGAUAUCGGGAGGAACACCGGUGGCGAAGGCGGCGACCUGGGUAGAUACUGACGCUGAGGUGCGAAAGCGUGGGGAGCAAACAGG